UUCCUACGGGACGCAGCAGUGAGGAAUAUUGGUCAACGGUCGGGAGACUGAACCAGCCAAGCCGCGUGAGGGAUGAAGGUACAGAGUAUCGUAAACCUCUUUUGUCAGGGAACAAAGGCGGGGACGUGUCCCCGGAUGAGUGUACCUGAAGAAAAAGCAUCGGCUAACUCCGUGCCAGCAGCCGCGGUAAUACGGAGGAUGCGAGCGUUAUCCGGAUUUAUUGGGUUUAAAGGGUGCGUAGGCGGAAGGUUAAGUCAGCGGUCAAAUGUCGGUGCUCAACACCGGCCUGCCGUUGAAACUGGUCU
rnacentral:rRNA from 1 species